GAUGAACGCUGGCGGCGUGCCUAAUACAUGCAAGUCGAGCGAACAGAUAAGGAGCUUGCUCCUUUGACGUUAGCGGCGGACGGGUGAGUAACACGUGGGUAACCUACCUAUAAGACUGGGAUAACUUCGGGAAACCGGAGCUAAUACCGGAUAACAUUUGGAACCGCAUGGUUCUAAAGUGAAAGAUGGUUUUGCUAUCACUUAUAGAUGGACCCGCGCCGUAUUAGCUAGUUGGUAAGGUAACGGCUUACCAAGGCGACGAUACGUAGCUGACCUGAGAGGGUGAUCGGCCACACUGGAACUGAGACACGGUCCAGACUCCUACGGGAGGCAGCAGUAGGGAAUCUUCCGCAAUGGGCGAAAGCCUGACGGAGCAACGCCGCGUGAGUGAUGAAGGGUUUCGGCUCGUAAAACUCUGUUAUUAGGGAAGAACAAAUGUGUAAGUAACUGUGCACGUCUUGACGGUACCUAAUCAGAAAGCCACGGCUAACUACGUG
rnacentral:rRNA from 1 species